UUCUAACCCACUGCGUUAGCGAUUGAAGCGGCAUCCUUUUUUGAGAUACAAAAAAAAAGAUAUAGCGGAAAGCGCGACCUUUA
rnacentral:sRNA from 1 species